CCUACGGGUGGCAGCAGUGGGGAAUAUUGGGCAAUGGGCGCAAGCCUGACCCAGCAACGCCGCGUGAAGGAAUAAGGCUUUCGGGUUGUAAACUUCUUUUCUCAGGGACGAAGCAAGUGACGGUACCUGAGGCCUAAGCCACGGCUAACUACGUGCCAGCAGCCGCGGUAAUACGUAGGUGGCAAGCGUUAUCCGGAUUUACUGGGUGUAAAGGGCGUGUAGGCGGGACUGUAAGUCAGAUGUGAAAACCACGGGCUCAACCUGGGGCCUGCAGUUGAAACUGUAGGUCUUGAGUACUGGAGAGGCAGACGGAAUGCCUAGUGUAGCGGUGAAAUGCGUAGAUAUUAGGAAGAACACCAGUGGCGAAGGCGGUCUGCUGGACAGCAACUGACGCUGAGGCGCGAAAGCGUGGGGAGCAAACAGGAUUAGAUACCCCUGUAGUC
rnacentral:rRNA from 1 species